CUUUGUUCGCCAGAAAAUUACGGGCGAAAGCCUAAAACUCAAAAGACUUGACGGUGUCUCAACCCUACCUAGAGGAGCCUGUUCCAUAAUCGAUAAUCCCCGAUCAACCCGACCACCCAUUGUCCCAUUCAGCCUAUAUACCGCCGUCGCCAGCUUACCUUUUGAAAGACAAACAGUAAGCCCAAUAGCCCCCUUUACUUAAAGCUAAAAAGUCAGGUCAAGGUGUAGCUUAUAGGGUGGAGGAAAUGGGCUACAUUUUCUACAAUUAGACAAAACGAACUACUGUCCUGAAACGGACUUACGAAGGUGGAUUUAGCAGUAAG
rnacentral:rRNA from 1 species